CCUACGGGUGGCAGCAGUGAGGAAUAUUGGUCAAUGGACGAGAGUCUGAACCAGCCAAGUAGCGUGAAGGAUGACUGCCCUAUGGGUUGUAAACUUCUUUUAUAAAGGAAUAAAACGAGGCACGUGUGCCUUUUUGCAUGUACUUUAUGAAUAAGGAUCGGCUAACUCCGUGCCAGCAGCCGCGGUAAUACGGAGGAUCCGAGCGUUAUCCGGAUUUAUUGGGUUUAAAGGGAGCGUAGAUGGGUUGUUAAGUCAGUUGUGAAAGUUUGCGGCUCAACCGUAAAAUUGCAAUUGAUACUGGCAGUCGUGAGUACAGUUGAGGUAAGCGGAAUGCGUGGUGUAGCGGUGAAAUGCUUAGAUAUCACGAAGAACCCCGAUUGCGAAGGCAGCUUACUAAACUGUGACUGACAUUGAUGCUCGAAAGUGUGGGUAUCAAACAGGAUUAGAUACCCUGGUAGUC
rnacentral:rRNA from 1 species